rnacentral:rRNA from 1 species
GACGAACGCUGGCGGCGUGCUUAACACAUGCAAGUCGAACGGAAAGGCCCUGCUUUUGUGGGGUGCUCGAGUGGCGAACGGGUGAGUAACACGUGAGUAACCUGCCCUUGACUUUGGGAUAACUUCAGGAAACUGGGGCUAAUACCGGAUAGGAGCUCCUGCUGCAUGGUGGGGGUUGGAAAGUUUCGGCGGUUGGGGAUGGACUCGCGGCUUAUCAGCUUGUUGGUGGGGUAGUGGCUUACCAAGGCUUUGACGGGUAGCCGGCCUGAGAGGGUGACCGGCAACAUGGGGACUGAGAUACGGCCCAGACUCCUACGGGAGGCAGCAGGGGGGAAUAUUGCACAAUGGGCGGAAGCCUGAUGCAGCAACGCCGCGUGCGGGAUGACGGCCUUCGGGUUGUAAACCGCUUUCGCCUGUGACGAAGCGUGAGUGACGGUAAUGGGUAAAGAAGCACCGGCUAACUACGUG